UAAACGACUCUCGGCAACGGAUAUCUCGGCUCACGCAUCGAUGAAGAACGUAGCAAAAUGCGAUACUUGGUGUGAAUUGCAGAAUCCCGUGAACCAUCGAGUUUUUGAACGCAAGUUGCGCCCGAAGCCUUUUGGCCGAGGGCACGUCUGCCUGGGCGUCACGC
rnacentral:rRNA from 3 species